ACACUACGCGAUGGCUUUCUCUUC
rnacentral:siRNA from 1 species